rnacentral:rRNA from 1 species
GACGAACGCUGGCGGCGUGCUUAACACAUGCAAGUCGAACGGAAAGGCCCUGCUUUUGUGGGGUGCUCGAGUGGCGAACGGGUGAGUAACACGUGAGUAACCUGCCCUUGACUUUGGGAUAACUUCAGGAAACUGGGGCUCAUACCGGAUAGGAGCUCCUGCUGCAUGGUGGGGGUUGGAAAGUUUCGGCGGUUGGGGAUGGACUCGCGGCUUAUCAGCUUGUUGGUGGGGUAGUGGCUUACCAAGGCUUUGACGGGUAGCCGGCCUGGGAGGGUGACCGGCCACAUUGGGACUGAGAUACGGCCCAGACUCCUACGGGAGGCAGCAGUGGGGAAUAUUGCACAAUGGGCGGGAGCCUGAUGCAGCAACGCCGCGUGCGGGAUGACGGCCUUCGGGUUGUAAACCGCUUUCGCCUGUGACGAAGCGUGAGUGACGGUAAUGGGUAAAGAAGCACCGGCUAACUACGUG